rnacentral:tRNA from 1 species
CAUUCAAGAGCCAGUCGGUAGAGCAUCAGACUUUUAAUCUGAGGGUCCAGGGUUCAAGUCCCUGUUUGGGCGG